rnacentral:rRNA from 1 species
UACAGAGGUCUCAACCGUUGUUCGGAUUCAUUGGGCGUAAAGGGUGCGUAGGCGGUCGCGCAAGUCGGAUGUGAAAUCUUGGGGGCUCAACCCCGAAACUGCAUUCGAUACUGCGUGGCUAGAGUACUGGAGAGGAGACUGGAAUUUACGGUGUAGCAGUGAAAUGCGUAGAUAUCGUAAGGAAGACCAGUGGCGAAGGCGAGUCUCUGGACAGUUACUGACGCUGAGGCACGAAGGCCAGGGGAGCAAACGGG